AACUUGCUGCCCCAGCCCUCCCCUUCUAAGGAACUCCCACACCUGCCCUGUCUUCCUGCUACAGUCUCUGAGAAAAGCCCUUUCAUCUGUCAAGAACUACAAAAGUCAUUCUUUAAGCCUGUGAGCAGAACCAGAAGGGACACUCUCACAGCCUGUUCACCACGGAAUCCAGGAGGCAGGUCAAUUUUGGUGGCUGUCUCCACAACAUGGCUUUUUCCCCUUGAAGACCAUCAGGAGAAGAGCCUGUAUCUCCGCAUCUGUGGAAAUCGUCUUUGCCAUGUAAUGUGCCAUAACCACGGGAGUGACAUCGCAUCACAUCCCAGGGCCACCGCUAAGGAGGAGGGUGAGGAUCUUGACCCUCAUCUUAGAAUUCUGCCCUGCCUGGCUUCCACUUGUCCUCUUCUAAAUCUGUCUUAACUCAUUCCUUUGGUGCCUGUUUUUGCUGCCUAAAUUUUGGCAAUAAAGGGAGGAAUAAAAACA
ensembl:lncRNA novel transcript